UGGACUUCAAAUCUACCGCUAACCCUACAAUUUUUUUAGAGAGGGAGAGAAAGAGAGAGAGAAUCGUGAUGAAGGUGGCGGGUUGGGUGGGGGUGGAGUUCGGGCAAGGAAGGAUAUGGAAUUGCUGGGUUAAAGGAAUGUGGGCUGGAGAAUAGGGUCUCUUUUUAUUUUCUUUUCAAGUUUUAGUAUUUUUUUACUUUAAUAGUUAAAAGUGAUCUUCUUUUUUAAAUUAAAGAAUUGAUUUUUUUAACAGAAUUUGGAAGGAAGUUUAAAAGUUUGACGGUAAGGUGGAAAUUGGCACAUUAUAUAUAGUUCAGGGGGCAAAUUGGUUGAAAAAAUAGUUUAGAGGGUAAAUUGACAAUAUGGUGAUAGUUUAAGGGGGAAAAUGACAGUUUACCCUAAUUAGUAAAUACAUCAUUCUAUUUACGUUUGGUCAAAAAAGAGAUUGACUAUGGUACGUACAUUUAUCAUCUAAUAUGCACCUAUAAAAUAUAAUCGUUAGACGGUGAAUGUAUUAAGUAAAUGCAUAUGUAACCAAGAAAAGAAAGGUAGAAUGAUAGUUUACAUGAGUUUUGAUUGGGUAGGUCAAUUGAUGUUCAUGCCUUAACGAGAAGACAAACUCUUUCCAUCCCCUUCUAUCUUCUCCUCUAAUAUUCUCUAUUUUGUCUUUCUUUUUCUAUAAAAAAUUAAUAUAAGAUGUUGACGUGGUUUAAUCAUGACCGUUCAAAUAAGAAAGGAGUGAAAGUGAAGAAAAAAAAGAGAGGAGAGAAUUCACUCCCGGCUAAUGACCAAGGUUGUGAAAAUUUUGAGUGGAAAUGUGUCAGAUCUUAGCCCACUUGCAAAGGAGAAAACUCAGGCCCCGCGUGCCAAAAUGCAACCGUGUAAGUCGAAUGAGGAUUUGGUUUCGAAACUGCAACCACAAGAUGAAGAGCCAUGAGAUGAACCAAAUGACCUGAAUAUGUUUCUUGAUAAAUUUCUAAAGUUAAUUCAACUUACAGUAGAGAUGGGGUUUUU
rnacentral:lncRNA from 1 species